UACGUAGGGGGCAAGCGUUGUCCGGAUUUAUUGGGCGUAAAGAGCGUGUAGGCGGCCAGGUAGGUCUGCUGUGAAAACUCGAGGCUCAACCUCGAGACGUCGGCGGAAACCAUCUGACUAGAGUCCGGAAGAGGAGAGUGGAAUUCCUGGUGUAGCGGUGAAAUGCGCAGAUAUCAGGAAGAACACCCGUGGCUAAGGCGGCUCUCUAGUACGGUACUGACGCUGAGACGCGAAAGCGUGGGAGCGAACAGG
rnacentral:rRNA from 1 species